GAGGAAUAUUGGUCAAUGGACGAGAGUCUGAACCAGCCAAAUCGCGUGAAGGAAGACUGCCCUACGGGUUGUAAACUUCUUUUGUACAGGAAUAAAAGACAUUACGUGUAAUGUAUUGCAUGUACUGUACGAAUAAGCAUCGGCUAACUCCGUGCCAGCAGCCGCGGUAACACGUAGGUGGCGAGCGUUGUUCGGAAUCAUUGGGCGUAAAGGGCGCGCAGGCGGCGAGGCAAGUCCGGUGUGAAAGUGCUCGGCUCAACCGAGUGAUGCGCUGGAAACUGUCCUGCUUGAGUACAGGAGGGGACGUCGGAAUUCCAGGUGUAGGGGUGAAAUCUGUAGAUAUCUGGAAGAACACCGGUGGCGAAGGCGGACGUCUGGCCAUGUACUGACGCUGAGGCGCGAAGGUGCGGGGAGCGAACA
rnacentral:rRNA from 1 species